AUGAUUUACAGGCAGAUGUUACCAGCUUCAAAAGUUAUUGGAGAACAGAAACAGAAGAUUUGAUUCAAACUUUAAUAACUGAGGUCCACGUAGCAGAAGAUGCUUUUUCUGACUGAUGGAGAGGCUUGGAACUGAAUGAGUGUAAGUACCAUUUUUUCCUCAGGAAAGAUAGCCUAGA
rnacentral:lncRNA from 1 species